UACGUAGGUGGCAAGCGUUGUCCGGAAUUAUUGGGCGUAAAGCGCGCGCAGGCGGUCUUUUAAGUCUGAUGUGAAAGCCCACGGCUCAACCGUGGAAGGUCACUGGAAACUGGGGAACUUGAGUGCAGAAGAGAAAAGCGGAAUUCCACGUGUAGCGGUGAAAUGCGUAGAGAUGUGGAGGGACACCAGUGGCGAAGGCGACUCUUUGGCCUGUAACUGACGCUGAGGCGCGAAAGCGUGGGGAGCAAACAGG
rnacentral:rRNA from 1 species